rnacentral:rRNA from 1 species
AGAUUGAACGCUGGCGGCAUGCUUUACACAUGCAAGUCGAACGGUAACAGGCCGCAAGGUGCUGACGAGUGGCGAACGGGUGAGUAAUGCAUCGGAACGUGCCCAGUCGUGGGGGAUAACGCAGCGAAAGCUGUGCUAAUACCGCAUACGUCCUACGGGAGAAAGCAGGGGACCUUCGGGCCUUGAGCUAUCAGAUGAGCCUAGGUCGGAUUAGCUAGUUGGUGGGGUAAUGGCUCACCAAGGCGACGAUCCGUAACUGGUCUGAGAGGAUGAUCAGUCACACUGGAACUGAGACACGGUCCAGACUCCUACGGGAGGCAGCAGUGGGAAUAUUGGACAAUGGACAAAGCCUGAUCCAGCCAUGCCGCGUGUGUGAAGAAGGUCUUCGGAUUGUAAAGCACUUUAAGUUGGGAGGAGGCAGUUACCUAAGUACGUAUCUGUUUGACGUUACGACAGAAUAAGCAACCGGCUAACUCGUAGUCGCCAACG